rnacentral:rRNA from 1 species
GACGAACGCUGGCGGCGUGCUUAACACAUGCAAGUCGAACGGAAAGGCCCUUCGGGGUACUCGAGUGGCGAACGGGUGAGUAACACGUGGGUGAUCUGCCCUGCACCUUGGGAUAAGCCUGGGAAACUAGGUCUAAUACCGCAUAGGACCACGGCCUUCAUGGGUUGUGGUGGAAAGCUUUUGCGGUGUGGGAUGGGCCCGCGGCCUAUCAGCUUGUUGGUGGGGUAAUGGCCUACCAAGGCGACGACGGGUAGCCGGCCUGAGAGGGUGACCGGCCACACUGGGACUGAGAUACGGCCCAGACUCCUACGGGAGGCAGCAGUGGGGAAUAUUGCACAAUGGGCGCAAGCCUGAUGCAGCGACGCCGCGUGAGGGAUGACGGCCUUCAGGUUGUAAACCUCUUUCAGCAGGGACGAAGCGCAAGUGACGGUACCUGUAGAAGAAGGACCGGCUAACUACGUGCCAGCCGCCGCAGUAA